CAGAGGGAGACUGCAGACUCAGCGGAUCCCAGCAGGGCUGGAGGUGAUAGGAGAGGCCCUGCAGUAGUUGCCGGCACAAUCACCUGGAAGAUCUCCAGAGCCAGGAGCCACCUGCUGCAGGAAGUGGCUGCUGAGAGCCUCUCUGAGAAGACUGCAGCAGCGACCACCACCGGAAGCUUCUCGUAACUGGUGCUGUCCCUGCAGCAGGAGGUCUGGGAGAUUUCACUGCUUGCUGUCCUAGCCCCUUUGCAAUUCCAAAGUUUACCAAUUUUGACUUCUCAAGAGCGAAAGCACGCAGCAAAUGAAGUCUGACAUCUAUGAAACUUCCCAGACACGUAAUUCAGAGUAUGAGGUGUGAAUUUCACUACAGCAAAAUGAAGCACAAGACAAAGGAGUCCUUAAGAACCUCAGAUGAUGCCACUGGAGCCGAUUUCAAUAUUUACCCCUGACUGGAGUCUGAAUACAAGCUCAGUGAGAGAAGGACGUUUUGUUUGUUUAUUCAACACUAUCUAUGGUUGUAAGCCACCUGGAGGAAGUGGUCUUCGG
rnacentral:lncRNA from 1 species